rnacentral:rRNA from 1 species
AAUGAACGUUGGCGGCGUGGAUUAGGCAUGCAAGUCGAGCGCGAUAUGUAGCAAUACAUGGAGAGCGGCGAAAGGGAGAGUAAUACGUAGGUAUCUACCCUCGGGUCUGGGAUAGCAGCGGGAAACUGCUGGUAAUACCAGAUAACGUCUCCGGACCAAAGGUGUGAUUCCACCUGAGGAGGAGCCUACGGCCUAUUAGCUAGUUGGUAGGGUAACGGCCUACCAAGGCAAAGAUGGGUAUGGGGUGUGAGAGCAUGCCCCCACUCACUGGGACUGAGACACUGCCCAGACACCUACGGGUGGCUGCAGUCGAGAAUCUUCGGCAAUGGGCGAAAGCCUGACCGAGCGACGCCGCGUGCGGGAUGAAGGCCUUCGGGUUGUAAACCGCUGUCGUAGUGGAGGAAAUGUAGGAGAGUUAUCUCUUUUACUUGACUAAUACUAGGAGGAAGGACCGGCUAAUCUCGUGCCAGCCGCCGCGGUAACAC